GGAGAUGUUUGUUUGUUUGUUGGUUCUCAGAGGCUGAGAAUCAGAGUUUUUGUCUGUUUCUCUUCUGAACUCUUUUCUUUCCUCUUUUUUUUCUUCUUAAUCCUCAACAUGUUUUUUUUUCUUUUCUGACUCUCACAAAAAAACCCCUCAGACCCCCCCAGACUCUGCAGUCUUCACUUCCUCAGAGCCACAGCGCCCUCCACAGGAUCAUUACAGAAACAGCACUGACGUGUGUCUGAGAGGAUGAGUUUGAGAUUAAUGAGACGCUCCGAUCUCUGGAAAUAUGAGGAGGGGAGGACGGGGACCGACAGGAGGACUGUGGAGGACAGGACCUGGAUCUGCACAUAUGGGUUCAAGAAUUGAUGACAUGUUAAGGUCUGAUUGGCUGAGAAUUGGUUUCACUCAGCCAAAGAAAUGAUAAAGAAAUGAUCAUAAAUGUUCUUCCUUUAGCUGCGGCACCCCGCUGUAGUCUGUAAUGGACUGGCCUGAGGUCUCUCUACAAACAAGCGUCUGCUGGAAGAGAGUAGGUGAGUUGUGUUUAGUCUCUUUGCUAAAGAAAUGAGGCAAAGUUAAAAAGAUGUUUGGUGUCUAGUACUAUGUCUGUGACCCUAUAUGUCCUGUUGAUGAAGUUAGGUGCUGUUCUGAGCAUUAUUUGUGGCUAUAGAGUGGCGUUUUGGUUGAGGUUUGUUUACUGCUCCUCAGACCGCUGUGUUUGUUUGGUGUUUUUGGUAUUUUUGGUCUUGUUGGGUGUUUGGUAAAUUUUUGGUGUUUUUAGUGAUUUUGGUAUUCGUAGUUUUUAGGUGAUUU
rnacentral:lncRNA from 1 species